rnacentral:rRNA from 2 species
UAUCAUCUGUUUCUUAAAUAUUUAUUGAAUUUGACUUUUAAGUGAAAAGGCUUAAAUAAAACAAAAAGACGAUAAGACCCUAUAAAUCUUUACAAUAAAUAUAUUUUAUAUUUUAGCUUAUAAGUGUAUAAGAAAUAAAAAUAUAGGUUUGUUGCGCUGGGGCGGCGUAGAUAUAUAAAUAAACUGUCUAUAAUUUAAAUACAAUAAUUAUUGCUUAAUACAAAUUGAUCCUUAAAUAGAUUAAAAGAUUAAGAUACUUUAGGGAUAACAGCGUUAUUUUUUUUGAGAGUUCUUAUCGAAGAAAAAGUUUGCGACCUCGAUGUUGAAUUAAAGUAUCUCUAUGGUGUAGCCGCUAUAAGAGAGAGUCUGUUCGACUUUUAAUACUUUA